AUGGCCGCAGUGAUUCUGGAGAGCAUCUUUCUGAAGCGAUCCCAACAGAAAAAGAAAACAUCACCUCUAAACUUCAAGAAGCGCCUGUUUCUCUUGACCGUGCACAAACUCUCCUACUAUGAGUAUGACUUUGAACGUGGAGAAGAGGCAGUAAGAAGGGUUCAAUAGAUGUUGAGAAGAUCACUUGUGUUGAAACAGUGGUUCCUGAAAAAAAUCCUCCUCCAGAAAGACAGAUUCCAGAAGAGGUGAAGAGUCCAGUGAAAUGGAGCAAAUUUCAAUCAUUGAAAGGUUCCCUUAUCCCUUCCAGUUGUAUAUGAUGAAGGGCCUCUCUACGUCUUCUCCCCAAC
rnacentral:lncRNA from 1 species